GUUAAGAUGGCAGAAUGUUAAGCUAAAGGUCUAAGCCCUUUCCAUAGAGGUUAAAUUCCUCUUCUUAACU
rnacentral:tRNA from 1 species